rnacentral:rRNA from 1 species
CCUACGGGUGGCAGCAGUGAGGAAUAUUGGUCAAUGGACGAGAGUCUGAACCAGCCAAGUAGCGUGAAGGAUGAAUGCCCUAUGGGUUGUAAACUUCUUUUAUAAAGGAAUAAAACGAGGCACGUGUGCCUUUUUGCAUGUACUUUAUGAAUAAGGAACGGCUAACUCCGUGCCAGCAGCCGCGGUAAUACGGAGGAUACGAGCGUUAUCCGGAUUGAUUGGGCUUAAAGGGAACGUAGAUGGGUUGUUAUGUCAGUUGUGAAAUUUUGCGGCUUAACCGUAAAAUUGCAAUUGAUACUGGUAGUCUUGAGUACAGUUGAGGUAGGUGGAAUUCGUGGUGUAGCGGUGAAAUGCUUAGAUAUGACGAAGAACACCGAUUGCGAAGGCAGCCUGCCGCAGCGUUACUGACGCUGAAGCUCGAAAGCGCGGGUAUCGAACAGGAUUAGAUACCCUGGUAGUC